UCAUGGAACUUUGACACCUCAAAAAUAUAAGAAAGCAGAUUGAAAAUCUAAAGAAUUUCACUGAUCACCCAAAGAAUGUUUUCUGAAGUUUGAUCCAUAGUAGUCUUUCUUUUGUGAAAUUUAACCUAAAUUCCAGACAUUCCAUACUGUCAUUCGGAAGAGCAACUGAAGAGUGAUUUUAAACAAUUGUAUUGACACACUCCAGGAAAGCACAGAGAAGGACUUCCCCUGCAGCUUGUGCCAACACAUCCUACUCAUGAAAUGUUUCUAGAAGUCCCGAGUACUGAUUUAAAGAGCAAUGAAAGCCAGCCCACAUUAGACUGACUUUCCAGUUUAAAUGUCAUUCGUUGCUGCUCCUGCUCCUCUAACUCUA